GAUGAACGCUGGCGGCGUGCCUAAUACAUGCAAGUCGAGCGAACAGACGAGGCGAUUGCUCCUCUGUCGUUAGCGGCGGCCGCGUGAGUACCACAUGGCUAACCUACCUAUAAGACUGGGAUAACUUCGACAAACGGGCGCUAAUACCGGAUCAUAUAUUGAACCGCAGGGUUCAAUAGUGAAAGACGCUUUUCCUGUCCCUUAUAGACGGAUCAGCGCCGCAUUGGCUAGUUGGUAAGGUAACGGCUUACCAAGGCAACGAUGCGUAGCCGACGUGAGAGGGUGAUCGGCCACACGGGAAGUGAGACACGCCCCAGACCCCUACGGGAGGGAGCAGUCGGGAACCGUGCGCAAUGGGCGCAAGCCUGACGGAGCAACGCGGAGUGAGGCAUGAAGGUCCUCCGAUCGUAAAACUCUGUUAUUAGGGAAGAACAAAUGUGUAAGUAACUAUGCACGUGUUGACGGUACCCAAUCAGAAAGCCACGGCUAACUACGUG
rnacentral:rRNA from 1 species